UCGUGUACUGUAGAAGACUGGCUAUGGAGGCAGGUGGGCUGCUUGCUACUUUAACUUCCUGGAAGGUCGUGGCUGUGAAUGACUUUUCUUCUUCACCUUUAGUUCUGGUUCAAGGUAUCUCUAGAAAAUGACAAGACUGAGAUAUUCUCUUUGGUGGAUUAGCAGUCUGCUUCAGAAGGAGGAAGGCUGGCCAGAGUUGGGCAGCACUGAAAGUCCACAGCCUCAAGCUGGCGCCGAUUCUAAAUGAUCAAAGGCAGAAGAUUUAUACCAGAUAAAGCCAUAUGGAUUGCUGGUCUAAAAUUCAAGGCAGGUUAGUUGACUUAAUUCUUUGGUGCUGGUGACUGUUAGUUUGUAAAAAUUCAGUAGUCAGAAGGAAGUGGUGGUGUUGGGAGCUGUCGAGUGAUACUUAUGGUCCAUAAGUAGGGCUAACUGGACAAAUCCUGCCACUUAGUGUCCAGUUUGGUGCUCAGAGCCUUGCUCUCAGUUGCUGGCACGGCCUCACCUUGCCAGUGAGGACUGGCAGAAGGGAAAUGUGGACUGUGGUAGAGUCAGCAGGGUAUCUGCCCCUCACUGGUGAGAGUAUCUACCCUGGGGACAAACUGUUCCUCUGCUUUAGCAGAAAGGUAUCAACUUAGUGUCACUUUUUCCAGGGCCAUGAAGGGACUUUUUGUCAGAAUGUAUGUGAGCCAUCCUGGUAACCUUGACACAGGUAGUAUUCUGGGGACUUCCAAUUGUCUGUCACAAAAUUUUGGCAACCUGUAGUUUAGACCUGCUAAGUUUGCAGUACCUGGUGGCACUACUUGAGAUGUGUAUAUUGAGCAACUGCUGAGAAGUGAAUGCCUCUAGUUGGAAGAUGUUUGAAUUUAUGCCUGGAAGGAGGGCAUUCACUUGGUUCACUAUCCACCUGUUCCCUUUCCUAUGCACAUAGGAGAAAAUCUGGAUCAGUGACCAAUCAGAAUUGCCUUUCUGUCUUAGAAAAGAAAUUCCAGAAUGUUGCUUACUUCUUCAGUGCGCACUUAGCUUUUUUUUCUUCUUCAAGAGAAGCCU